UGGAUCAGUGGUGACCACUGGUGGCAUAUAAGUCAUGGACCAUAAAUAUGAGAAGAAAAGAAUCUAGGUUUUUGCUUUUAUUGAAAAUGAUCCUG
rnacentral:snoRNA from 1 species